GGAUUUUGCAUAUGAGUCAGAAAUCGUAGAAGGACCGUUCUUGCGUCAGAAUGAUUUUGCACCUGAGUCUGACAUCGUAGAAGGACCAUUCUUACAUCAGAAUGAUUUUGCAUAUGAGUCAGAAAUCGUAGAAGGACCGUUCUCGCGUCAGAAUGGAUUUUGGAUAUGAGUCAGAAAUCGUAGAAGGACCAUUUUUGCGUCAGAAUGGAUUUUGCAUAUAAGUCAGAAAUCCUAGAAGGACCGUUCUUGUAUCAGAAUGGAUUUUGCACCUGAGUCUGACAUCGUAGAAGGACUAUUCUUGUGUUAGAUUGGAUUUUGCACCUGAGUCUGACAUCGUAGAAGGACCAUUCUAGUGUCAGAUUGGAUUUUGCACCUGAGUCUGACAUCGUAGAAGGACCAUUCUAGUGUCAGAUUGGAUUUUGCACCUGAGUCUGACAUCGUAGAAGGACCAUUCUAGUGUCAGAUUGGAUUCUGCACCUGAGUCUGACAUCGUAGAAGGACUAUUCUUGUGUUAGAUUGGAUUUUGCACCUGAGUCUGACAUCGUAGAAGGACUAUUCUUGUGUUAGAUUGGAUUUUGCACCUGAGUCUGACAUCGUAGAAGGACUAUUCUUGUGUUAGAUUGGAUUUUGCACCUGAGUCUGACAUCGUAGAUGGACCAUUCUUGCAUCAGAUUGGAUUUUGCACCUGAGUCUGACAUCGUAGAAGGACCAUUCUGGUAUCAGAUUGGAUUUUGCACCUGAGUCUGACAUCGUAGAAGGACCAUUCUGGUAUCAGAUUGUAAGUAAUUAAUUUCUUUAUCAUUUUCC